GUCAAGAUAGUGGCCAAAGAGGAAGUUAUAAAGCAGACUAGGAAAUUCUCCUAAAUAUAUCUCCAACAGAGUAAACAAGAGAUUAGGAAACUUGUCCUUCAUUCAAUUACACCUGGCAGGUGAAUGAGAGUGGAGCAGUAAGAGAUGCUGCUUCCAGUAGUUUUCUGCCUCUCAAUCCUUGCUAUUCAAAGUAUGGUCCACAGUCCAGCAGCUUUGGCAUCACCUGGGAACUUGAUGGAAAUGCAGAGAAGUUCAAAUUCCCACCACCGAUAUACUGAAUUAGAAACAUCUGCCCUUCAAGAAGAUCCACUGGUGAUAAUAUGCAUAUUAAAGUUUGAGUAGCACUGCCAUUCUAUAUCAGCUUGCAAAAUGAAAGCAAGAAGAAACAAAACAAAGCAUUAGCCAGUUUGGAUUUUCUGAAGUGCACUAAAUGUCAAACUCAAGAAAAGGAUUCUAUUCUGACAAGCACAAAACCCUGCACCAAGUUGAACCUGUCCUUUGUGAUGAGGCUGUUGAACAGAAGAGCAGCAUAGCAGUCUGUCUAUUCUUGCUCCACAUUCAGCUAAAUGCCAACUCCGAUCCCUUUGAGAUGGUGAACAGGCUGAACCCAGGGAUCGUGUCAUCCCUCAGUAUCCAGACUUCUUCAGAGAACCAUGUGGUGAAACUUCUUGAUUAAGGUCAUGUUCUUAGUCUAUAGCAUCAUUUUUUUUUUGUAAG
rnacentral:lncRNA from 1 species